rnacentral:misc_RNA from 1 species
UUAGAUACUCCCGGCAGUUCCACGCCCUAAACGAUGUCAAUCAUUGUUGGGGCCUUCGGGCCUUGCAGCGCAGCUAAUCAGCAGUGAAGCUGAAUUGCCCGGGGAGUACGGUCGUAAGAUUAAACCAAAGGAAUUGACGGGGACCGGCACGCUGCGGACAUGACAAUUUGAUGCAACGCGAAAAACCUUACCUACCCUCGACAUGUCUGGAAUCCCGAAGAGAUUGGGAGUGUUUCGCAAGAGAACCGAACACAGGUGCCGCAUGGCUGUCGUCAGCUCGUGUCGAGAUGCUGGGGUUAAGUCCCGCAACGAGCGCAACCCUUGUCAUUAGUUGCUACGAAAGGGCACUUAUCGAGACUGCCGGUGACAAACCGGAGGAAGGUGGGGAUGACGUCAAGUCCUCAUGGCCCUUAUGGGUAGGGCUUCGCACGUCAUACAACGGGACAGAGGGCUGCCAACCCGCGAGGGGGACAAUCCCAGAAACCCGAUCGUAGUCCGGAUCGCAGUCUGCAACUCGACUGCGUGAAGUCGGAAUCGCUAGUAAUCGCGGAUCAGCAUGUCGCGGUGAAUAUUCCCAGUCUUGUACACACCGCCCGUCACACCAGGAGUGGGUUUACCAGAAGUAGUUAGCCUAACCGUGAGGGCGAUUACCACGGUAGGAUUCAUGACUGGGGUGAAGUCGUAACAGCAG